GGAAUUGCCGAACUCGGAAGUGUGGCACUGUGGGAGUGAGGGUGAGAGUGACAGAAAGGAAAGAUCAAAAAGAAGAAGGGGGAAGUAAAGGCUGCUCGUCAUGGGUUGGCUCACCGGCCUGCUAGGCGUGGGUGUCUUACUAAAAUUCUUAAAUUUGUGCGUGGGUGUCCAUAGUAGCAGGCCCAAAGGUUAAAAAGGCAGGAGCUUUCGUUCAUUCAGUUAUGAAAAGGCUCAAGCUUUCAUGCCUGAUAUUUUGCUGCUGCUCUAGCCAAGUAUUAAAUAUGCAAGUCAACUCAAAAGUCAAACAUUUUUCAGCUUGAAGCCUUCAACUGUCCACUGUCUCCUGAUCCUGUAAUUUACAAACCCAACCCAUCAUCCUCAACGGUCAAUUAACUCCAAGACAUUUGAAAAUCAAGCAUGGCGAACGAUGUCCGUGAGAUCUUUGUGGUUUCAGCAGCUGGUUACAAACCCAACCCAUCACCCUAAACCCGCCAUCCCCUCCUCCUCUUUCACCCGCCAAAACCCGCUCGCCAAAAUCCUCCAUCUCACAGCUUCCCCGGGCCCACCCAGCCCCGGUCCCGACCCGCUCCGCCACAAAGCAGCACAAGAGCUCCACGACCACCUCGCCGACCUUUCCAACAUUCCCGAUAUGCCCCUCCCUCUCUGCGCCAUCGUAGACUUUCAAAUGGGCUGGACCAAGGAGGUCUUCUGGAAAUUCCACGUCCCAGUGAUCGGAUUCUUCACAUUCGGCGCGUACGCCGCCGCCAUGGAGUGGGGCUCGUGGAAGGUCCGAGCCGGAGACAUCCGACCCGACGAGCUCCGCCUAAUUCCCGGCCUACCCGAUCACAUGGCUCUCACGAUUUCCGACAUUAAAAGAAGGCCAGCCGGUCCCCCACGUGGCGGUGCGAACCGGCCCCCCGGCGGAAGAAGAGGGGGUGGUCCGCCUAAACCGGGAGACCGGCCUCCGUGGGUCCCAGAGAUAGAAGGCUCCGUCGCUCUGAUGUUCAACACAUGUGACUUCCUGGAACGUCCGUUCAUCGAGUACAUGAAAACCCAGAUGGGGAUGCCAGUAUGGGGCGUGGGCCCACUCUUGCCUGAAACGUACUGGAAGCCGUCGGAUUCACUGCUCCUCCCUGAGCGCCCGAUGAAACCACACCACUGGCGGCAAUCAAACUACAUCGAAGACGACGUCGCACGAUGGCUAGACUCAAAGCCCCGCGGGUCCGUGUUAUACGUGGCAUUCGGCAGCGAAGUGGGUCCCACAGUAGAAUAGUAUCCCCAUCUGGCCAGUGCAUUGGAGGAGUCGACCCGGCCGUUCAUCUGGGUCAUCCAAUCCGGGUCGGGUGACGGGUACUACCCAGAUGGGUUGAACAGCAAAGCGGGUGAGAGGGGUUUGAUAAUAUGUGGAUGGGCACCGCAAGUGUUGAUACUGAGCCAUAAAUCGACAGGUGGGUUCUUAUCACACUGUGGGUGGAAUUCAACCGUGGAAGCCAUUGGCCGUGGGGUGCCCAUUUUGGGGUGGCCCAUUAGGGGUGACCAGUUUUACAAUGCCAAGUUGGUGGCAAAGCAUCUCAAGGUUGGCUAUGGAGUUUGUGAAGAUUUUACAGAAAUGGUUAAGAAAGAAGACAUAGUGGAAGGGAUAGAGAGGUUGAUGGGCGAUGAAGGGGUGAAGAGACAGGCCAUGGAGAUAGGGAAGAGGUUGGAGGACGGGUUUCCUGCGAGCUCCGUGGCUGCAUUGGCUGUUUUUGUGGAUUUUAUUAGGCCAAAAACCAGCUCAGAAGUUUACAGAAUAGUUUGACGGGUCCAGUAUGGUUUUUGAAGCCUUGGAAGUUUUGAUGGGGUCGUUGGUGAUUUCGGCUUCUCUUGCAUUUCAAGUUGAGCAGGAGUUUAUUAUGGAUGGCAAUACUUAAUGGCCAUAUUAUUUUAAUCCCCAUAGUCUCUAUGCUUGCAUUCCCCCCGCCCCCGCAACCCCCAAGCGGGCAUAUUACAGAGCAGAACCUAUGCUGAAAACCAU